UACGGAGGAUGCGAGCGUUAUCCGGAUUUAUUGGGUUUAAAGGGUGCGUAGGCGGACUGUCAAGUCAGCGGUAAAAUACGGGGGCUCAACCUGCGUCCGCCGUUGAAACUGGCGUUCUUGAGUGGGCGAGAAGUACGCGGAAUGCGUGGUGUAGCGGUGAAAUGCAUAGAUAUCACGCAGAACCCCGAUUGCGAAGGCAGCAUACCGGCGCCCGACUGACGCUCAUGCACGAAAGCGUGGGUAUCGAACAGG
rnacentral:rRNA from 1 species